rnacentral:rRNA from 1 species
UGAAUUGCAGAAUUCAGUGAAUCAAUAGAAUGCUGAACGCAUACGGCACUCGUUUCUACGA